GGGUUGUGAGGUUAAGCGAACAAGCGUACACGGUGGAUGCCCUGGCAGUCAGAGGCGAUGAAGGACGUGCUAAUCUGCGAAAAGCGCCGGUAAGGUGAUAUGAACCGUUAUAACCGGCGAUGUCCGAAUGGGGAAACCCGGUGCACUUCGGUGCAUCAUCGUUAGCUGAAUACAUAGGCUAACGAGGCGAACCGGGGGAACUGAAACAUCUAAGUACCCCGAGGAAAAGAAAUCAACCGAGAUUCCCCCAGUAGCGGCGAGCGAACGGGGAACAGCCCAGAGCCUGAAUCAGCUUGUGUGUCAGUGGAACGGUCUGGAAAGGCCGGCGAUACAGGGUGACAGCCCCGUACACGAAGGCACACAGGCUGUGAGCUCGAUGAGUAGGGCGGGACACGUGAUAUCCUGUCUGAAGAUGGGGGGACCAUCCUCCAAGGCUAAAUACUCCUGACUGACCGAUAGUGAACCAGUACCGUGAGGGAAAGGCGAAAAGAACCCCGGCGAGGGGAGUGAAACAGAACCUGAAACCGUGUACGUACAAGCAGUGGGAGCCUUCGUAAGAGGGUGACUGCGUACCUUUUGUAUAAUGGGUCAGCGACUUAUAUUCUGUAGCAAGGUUAACCGUAUAGGGGAGCCGAAGGGAAACCGAGUCUUAACCGGGCGUUAAGUUGCAGGGUAUAGACCCGAAACCCGGUGAUCUAGCCAUGGGCAGGUUGAAGGUUGGGUAACACUAACUGGAGGACCGAACCGACUAAUGUUGAAAAAUUAGCGGAUGACCUGUGGCUGGGGGUGAAAGGCCAAUCAAACCGGGAGAUAGCUGGUUCUCCCCGAAAGCUAUUUAGGUAGCGCCUCGUGAACUCAUCUCCGGGGGUAGAGCACUGUUUCGGCUAGGGGGCCAUCCCGGCUUACCAACCCGAUGCAAACUGCGAAUACCGGAGAAUGUUAUCACGGGAGACACACGGCGGGUGCUAACGUCCGUCGUGAAGAGGGAAACAACCCAGACCGCCAGCUAAGGUCCCAAAGUCAUGGUUAAGUGGGAAACGAUGUGGGAAGGCCCAGACAGCCAGGAUGUUGGCUUAGAAGCAGCCAUCAUUUAAAGAAAGCGUAAUAGCUCACUGGUCGAGUCGGCCUGCGCGGAAGAUGUAACGGGGCUAAACCAUGCACCGAAGCUGCGGCAGCGACACUAUGUGUUGUUGGGUAGGGGAGCGUUCUGUAAGCCUGUGAAGGUGUGCUGUGAGGCAUGCUGGAGGUAUCAGAAGUGCGAAUGCUGACAUAAGUAACGAUAAAGCGGGUGAAAAGCCCGCUCGCCGGAAGACCAAGGGUUCCUGUCCAACGUUAAUCGGGGCAGGGUGAGUCGACCCCUAAGGCGAGGCCGAAAGGCGUAGUCGAUGGGAAACAGGUUAAUAUUCCUGUACUUGGUGUUACUGCGAAGGGGGGACGGAGAAGGCUAUGUCGGCCGGGCGACGGUUGUCCCGGUUUAAGCGUGUAGGCUGACUUUCCAGGCAAAUCCGGAAAGUUAAGGCUGAGGCGUGAUGACGAGGCACCACGGUGCUGAAGUGACAAAUGCCCUGCUUCCAGGAAAAGCCUCUAAGCAUCAGGUAACAUCAAAUCGUACCCCAAACCGACACAGGUGGUCAGGUAGAGAAUACCAAGGCGCUUGAGAGAACUCGGGUGAAGGAACUAGGCAAAAUGGUGCCGUAACUUCGGGAGAAGGCACGCUGACAUGUAGGUGAAGCCCCUGCGGGUGGAGCUGAAGUCAGUCGAAGAUACCAGCUGGCUGCAACUGUUUAUUAAAAACACAGCACUGUGCAAACACGAAAGUGGACGUAUACGGUGUGACGCCUGCCCGGUGCCGGAAGGUUAAUUGAUGGGGUUAUCGCAAGAGAAGCUCCUGAUCGAAGCCCCGGUAAACGGCGGCCGUAACUAUAACGGUCCUAAGGUAGCGAAAUUCCUUGUCGGGUAAGUUCCGACCUGCACGAAUGGCGUAAUGAUGGCCAGGCUGUCUCCACCCGAGACUCAGUGAAAUUGAACUCGCUGUGAAGAUGCAGUGUACCCGCGGCAAGACGGAAAGACCCCGUGAACCUUUACUACAGCUUGACACUGAACAUUGAGCCUUGAUGUGUAGGAUAGGUGGGAGGCUUUGAAGCGUGGACGCCAGUCUGCGUGGAGCCGACCUUGAAAUACCACCCUUUAAUGUUUGAUGUUCUAACCUGGCGCCGUGAUCCGGCGUGGGGACAGUGUCUGGUGGGUAGUUUGACUGGGGCGGUCUCCUCCCAAAGUGUAACGGAGGAGCACGAAGGUCAGCUAAUCCUGGUCGGACAUCAGGAGGUUAGUGCAAUGGCAUAAGCUGGCUUGACUGCGAGAGUGACGGCUCGAGCAGGUGCGAAAGCAGGUCAUAGUGAUCCGGUGGUUCUGUAUGGAAGGGCCAUCGCUCAACGGAUAAAAGGUACUCCGGGGAUAACAGGCUGAUACCGCCCAAGAGUUCAUAUCGACGGCGGUGUUUGGCACCUCGAUGUCGGCUCAUCACAUCCUGGGGCUGAAGUAGGUCCCAAGGGUAUGGCUGUUCGCCAUUUAAAGUGGUACGCGAGCUGGGUUUAGAACGUCGUGAGACAGUUCGGUCCCUAUCUGCCGUGGGCGCUGGAGAAUUGAGGGGGGCUGCUCCCAGUACGAGAGGACCGGAGUGGACGCAUCACUGGUGUUCGGGUUGUCAUGCCAAUGGCACUGCCCGGUAGCUAAAUGCGGAAGAGAUAAGUGCUGAAAGCAUCUAAGCACGAAACUUGCCCCGAGAUGAGUUCUCCCUGAGACUGUAAGUCUCCUGAAGGAACGUUGAAGACGACGACGUUGAUAGGCCGGGUGUGUAAGCGCAGCGAUGCGUUGAGCUAACCGGUACUAAUGAACCGUGAGGCUUAACCUUACAACGCCAAAGAAGU
rnacentral:rRNA from 1 species